AGACUACCUGAAAACGGCUGCCGUGGCUGCGGAAUCGCAUCUUGACGUCACUGAGUCUGCGGAAGUGUUUACGUGUUUCCGGCGUCGACAUCGUGCCUGGACACACGGGUGGCGGCGGCGGCGGUGAAAGGACGUUCGCCUAAUCAGCUCUUUUUGCCUACCCAGACUACCUGAAAACGGCUGCCGUGGCUGCGGAAUCGCAUCUUGACGUCACUGAGUCUGCGGAAGUGUUUACGUGUUUCCGGCGUCGACAUCGUGCCUGGACACACGGGUGGCGGCGGCGGCGGUGAAAGGACGUUCGCCUAAUCAGCUCUUUUUGCCUACCCAGGUUGGUAAAUUGGCUUACUUUCUUAAUACCGCCUUACCGCUACCGCCGUUGCCACCGUGUUUCAGAGCUUUGUUGAGUGUUUUGUGCUAAAUGUGUUUUUUUUCUGAACUGAAUGCUGCCGAAUUGCGUGCGAACUGAGUGCGACUGUGAAUCCCCGGACCACGUACCAUGGCAAGCACAUGCCAGUCUUGUGGUGAGCCCCUCCCCUGUGAUGGACGCGUCCUGAAGUGCAACGAAUGUGAGUGCUCUUACCAUGUUGGCAGUUGUUCUGGCUGGUCGGAGUCGACAUUUAAGACUAAAGGCGAAAGCGGUCGCAAGGCAUGGCGAUGUACUGCCUGCCGUUCUUCGAAAGCGAAAAGUGGGGAGAAAACUAGCAUGGACUCUGAUUUAGCCGUUUGUUUGGCAGAUAUAACUAGGAGGCUUGAUGCGUUGGCAGGGCUGCCGGCUCAGGUUGGAGAGAUUAAGGACUCAAUCCAGCUAUUGUC
rnacentral:lncRNA from 1 species